rnacentral:rRNA from 1 species
UUCUUAUAGAUAAUUUUUAUAAGUAUUGUCUGCUCAAUGAAAUUUAAAUAGCCGCGGAAAUUUAACCGUGCUAAGGUAGCAUAAUCAUUUGUCCCCUAAUUAGUGACCUGUAUGAAAGACAUAACAAUUUAAUUUCUUUAUUAAAUUUUAUAAUUUAAUUUAAAUUAAGAAUAAAAAUGUUCUUAUUGAUUAAAUAGACGACAAGACCCUAUUGAACUUUACUUUUGUUUAGCUGGGGCAGCUAAUAAAAUAUUAUUUUUAUAAAAUUAUUUAUUUAUUAGAUCCAAUUAUUAUUGAUUUAAAGAACAAGUUACCAUAGGGAUAACAGCAUAAUAUUUUUCUAAAGCUCUUAUUUAAAAAAAUGAUUAUGACCUCGAUGUUGAAUUAUUGUAACCUUUAAAUGUAAAAAUUUAAAAGGUAGGUCUGUUCGACCUUUAAAACUUUACAU